rnacentral:lncRNA from 1 species
AUGUAUUGGCUAUAGAGCAGUAAUAUUCUAGCUUAUAACUAGCAUUUACAGUAUAUUACAUAUUGGAUUUUAUUAGAUUUUUGUGAUUUAAAACUUGUUAAGGCCUCUUGGAAGCCCAAUAAUUGUUAAUUGGCCUUACUUGGGAGUCCAAUUAAAAUUUUGAUGUGCGAUGUUUAGUCCCACAUUAGAAAUCAAAAAGGUGUUGAUGGUAUAUAUAUAUUCCUUUAUUCUUAAGCUAGUUACUUGGAAGAAAAUGAGAGUUAUACUUUCGUUUAAAUACACGCACGCACGGACGGCACGAGCCGAGCCGGGCCGGGUGGGCAGCGACGCGCGUGGUUUAUACACCCGGUUUAUUUUAUUUUUAUUUUUCAGUUUUAUCUUUUUUCUAAUACUAAUCCUAAUCUUUAUCCGUAUAAUCUUAGACUUAUCUUGUUUUAUACGGAUUUUACGCGUUGAAACAGGAUUUUCGCAUUGGUUAUAAAUAUUGGGCGAGGUUGCACUAGUUGAAGUAGAACCCGAGCAUAUCUAAGCCUUCUCGUCUUUUCCUGCUUUCUCGCUAUUAAUUUUUUUCGCCGAUUUUCGCCGAGUUUUUUUUGCUAAAUCUGAAGAUUGUUGGGUUCAUCUUACGCCACCUUGAAAGCGUGCCGAUGGGGUAGAAUGUGGUCAUUGUAUCGCUAGGAAUAAUUGCCGAGAAGUCUCGCACGUGGAGGGGCAAUUUUGUUUCUAGUACAGUGCUCUACACAUCUCGAUCCACAAGUCUUUUCUAUUCAUUACUUUUACAAUAUUUUUGUUUAAUUUUGUUUCAAAAUUUUUCUAAAACUGUAAUUAAACUUUCGAGUUGGUUUUAAAGAAUAUUAUAAUAAAAGAUAAGAAAGAAUUUUUCCAACAUUACAAACUUCGCUACAUGAGCAUGAUAGCUACAAUUGUAUCUUGGUUAUGAUUGAUUAGUACCAAAGAAGACACAGCUACGCCCAUCAUAAUGCGCGUGCACCACACUCUAUAUCCACCAUUUUUUUGUGGGGUUCUACCUUAUCACCAGGUACACAUUAAUAUCUUAGGUAACGUUUGGUUUGGGGAUAAACAAAAAGUGAUUAUUUCAGGGAUAGGUAUAAAUUGAGGUAUAAGCGGGGAUUAGAUCAAUUUUGCGUUUUGAUGAAAAUUGGCUUAUUCUUAGGAUUAAAAAAAAUAGCGUUUGAUUAGGUAUGAUAGAAUAAGGAAGAUAGUGGGUUUUUAUAAAUAAAAAAUAAUCAUAUUAUUCUCUUAUAAUUUUUAAAUUUCAAACUUUAAAUUUAAGAUUAAAUUUAAAUUUAAUAAAUAUAAAAUAUCAAAUUUUAAAUUUCAAAAUUAAAAUUUAUAAUUUAUAAUUUAUAAUUUAAAAUUAUAAACUUUAAUUUUGAGAUUAUAAAUUAUAAAUUUUAAAAUUUUAAAAUUUUAAUUUUUAAAUUUUUAAAAUAAGAAUAGGGGUGGGAACAAUUAAUAAAAAUAAUUUAUUAUAAUAAAUUUAUAGAUUUUUUUUAAAAUUCUACUUAAACUUAAAUUUAAUAAAAAGAAUUCAUUAUAAUACUUAAAUAUAAUUUAUUAUAAAUUUUAUUAUAAUAUUUAAAUAUAAAUAAUAUGUAUUAAUAUAGUAUAAUUAAUAAUUUUAUAAUAAAAAUAAUGUAUUAUAAUAUAUAAUAUAUUAUAUUUAUAUACUUUAGUUUUAAUUCAAUUUAUAAUUUUAAUUAAGUUUGAAAUUAAGUAUUGGAAUAGCGCUAUUCCACCAAAAUGGUGGAAUAACAAAUUUCUUGCUAUCCUGGGAUAACCGGGAAUAGCAAAGUUUGAUCGGGAUAAAAUAUCCCGGCCAAUUUUCAUCCCGUUUGGCAGAAUAGCGGGGAUAACUUUCGUUAUCCCCGCUUAUCCCUCCAACCAAGUGGAUUUGCACACACUAUGGCUAGUAGGAACUGAGAAAAUAAUAUCAGUUUCUGUAGUCUAGUUCAGAAAAAGCCUUUCGCACUAUGACUGCCCUUCUUUAGUCCGCGAUCAUUUGCGAAAAAAACAAUUACAUACUGAAGGUUCUUUCAAAAAUCGCUGAAAAACAGAUAAUUUUAAAAUAUAAUAUUAAUUGGUUUACGUACGCAUGCGUGUGCUCUCACUACAACAAAAUUAUUUUUUAGCAAUAAUUUAAUAGCAGCGAUUAUCGCACGGCCACUAUUACUUAUUAUCUUAUUGUACUUUAGCGAUAAUUAUUUUAA